UACGUAGGGGGCAAGCGUUAUCCGGAUUUACUGGGUGUAAAGGGAGCGUAGACGGCGAUGCAAGUCUGAAGUGAAAGGCGGGGGCCCAACCCCCGGACUGCUUUGGAAACUGUAUGGCUGGAGUGCAGGAGAGGUAAGUGGAAUUCCUAGUGUAGUGGUGAAAUGCGUAGAUAUUAGGAGGAACACCAGUGGCGAAGGCGGCUUACUGGACGGCAACUGACGCUGAGGCUCGAAAGCGUGGGGAGCAAACAGG
rnacentral:rRNA from 1 species